rnacentral:tRNA from 1 species
AGCCUCGCAGUUUUAGGAACGCCAGAUUGCAAAUCUGGAAGGGCAGGGUCACAUCUGCCGAGACUU